rnacentral:ribozyme from 1 species
UGUCCAGCAACUCCUAUCCCUACCUCCGCGUGGUACUGGCAGGAAACUUUGAGCAACCUUAGAGAAUAUCGGAUAACCAACCCCGGUAGGAACUUUGGUAGUAGGCUGACAGGAAAGG